UCCACUGCAAGAGCAUCCUUUUUUCCAUUCCUGCCAUACAACUCAACUCUUUUAUUAUGUACCAUUAUAGACAUAGUGGCAAUUAUUUCUUCAAAAUAGUGGAGGACCUCGGAUUUAGAGAGUCUGUGGAAAAACUAGAGCCAAUAUCCAUCCUCCCAACAAGAAGUGCGUGUGGUGACAUAGAUGAAGGAUGAGCGUAUUAGUGACCCAUUUCUGUCCUUUCCUUUGAAAUCACCACAACCGUUUUCACAAACAUCUCAUGUCCCAGUGGAUUUGUUUAAUCAUGCACUGAAAUCAUAUUGGUAAAGACAGUGACAACAGACCUCUGUUACUAUUACCCACACAAUCAAAAACAGCUUGAUGAAUGAAUGAAUGAACAAAAUAUAUAUAUUUGUUCUCAUUGGUCAUCUCGAACAGUUCUAAUUGCAAUGGAGAUUUUGACCAGUAGGAGAGGUUUUUUUUGCACACAAAUCAAGAAAUUAACCUUUUCUUGAAUCAAUUUAAUGGAACGCUUCAAGGCUUCAUAAGGCUUUAUCUGCCCGGACAGAAGAAAAAAAAAUGAUGCCUCGACAGAUGGACACAGCUACAGAAUAAUAAUAAUCAUCAUAAAUAAGGUGUACUAGGUAGGUAUGUUGACAGAAAAAUGGGCAGACGGAGACAGAGAGAAAAUAAGGUCAUAUUUGAUAGCAAGGUUAGAAGACACCCAGAUGGAUCAUUGUGAGGUAGGUAUUGUUGAAAUACUUGAUAAUAAAUGCGUAUGAACCAAUUUGUCAACAUGAUUCCACGUUAAAAGAUGGAAGUUGACUAACUGUUAAUCAUGUGUCUUCUUUUUGACAUCUUACCUUCCAGUGGGCCAAUUUACAAGUGACUUGCCAUCAGCGGACUAUAACUUGCUUUGGAGCAAUAAAAUAUCCGGCAAACAAGGUAACAGUUUUCUUAACUCUGCGUGGAUCCAAGAGCAUGAAAAGAAGAUGGUAGUGGACCUUUCCGACUAGCAAUCUUGAGCUCCGCCCCCCUUAGCGACAUUUGCCAUGUCCCACAAGCUUCCAAAAUGGCGAAUGAGCAGAACACGUUUGAAGUGGAUUCUCUAUCGCGUAUUCCAGACAAUAUUGCGGUAUGUUUUUUUUCCCAAAUGUCAGACUUUUCCAAGAGAAUUUUGCAGAGGGGUCUCAACUAUUUCACACGAGGAUAUGUACACGGAAUUAAGAUUUUGGACAGAGCACGACGCAACGUCAGAGUUACAGGGAAAUGUUGGCGAUCGAUGCAAAAAAGUUUGACGCCUUACAAACUUCAUAUUGGAAUCCAACUUGAUAUAUUAGUGGAAUCGUACUGCACAGCAAAAGUAAAGAAGGGUGAGUAUUUUUUACUUGGAAAGCUCAUGAGUAAUAUCCUUGUAGUCUUUUUAGGUGAGUUAGGUUCGAUUUUCUACAUUUAAACAAUGGCGAUAUCCUCAGUCAGUACCGUAGUCACCAGAUGAAAACGUUUGACUUGGCUCGUAAUCGAACCCAGUGCUCUAUAUUAAAAGUCCGAUGUGAUACAAAUAGGCAAAUAGACAUUUCUCUUGCAUGACAUCGCGGAUUUAUGCAUCACUAACCGGACUCUUUGGCAUAGAACAUUCCACACUUCAUUCGGCAGGUCAGGGAUACAACAAAGUAAAAGUUGUUCUGCUGCAAUGCAUAAAGCACUGAUAAUAAUUCAAUCAAACUCAGACAAGAUACUUCUCCCUCACUUACCUUCGAACAUACAGGCUUGUGUUUGUAGAUAUUGUUCACAUUUAGUUAUACGUGCCCUCUUCCCCGAGCCUUAAUCCAUCUUUAACACUUCGUUAACUGUGUUUUAGGCUUUGGAAAAUGAAUCAACCGGGCCCCAGGAUAUCUUUUAUCAGAAUUGCACAUUCCCCAAGUGCAUCUGAGGACCAUUUUCUUCAUAACAUUAACUUUUCCAAGCGCAUGCUACUGACAACAAGCAUUGCUUGUGGGACAAUAUGGCGAGAGGGGCGUGUCAAGCCAGGGCUUAAGACAACGCGGCUAUCUGAUUGGCUAUUAUUGUACGAGUGAUUUCCACCAAGGCAAAGGCACUGGAAUUACCAUUUUCAUCUUGUUAGCUUAACAUGCUUUCAUAUUUAUAUUAAGAUCUUGUGUGAGGAUGUCAAAUUUUUCUAUACUACCUUAACUGUAAUGUGACGUCAGCGCAGCAGACUGCCUGGAGCAGAGAGAGAGCGAAUGUACAGAAUAGAAGAUUUUUGACAGGAAGUUUAGGCGGACUGCUUCGAUUCAAAAUUCAUCACAUUACAGUCGGCUAUAAAAUACUUGUUUUCGCUCAACCUCAAGUGUGCAGUUGGAAAUAGAAGCGACAGUAUUAACCACCAGCAAUGUGACAACAGGACUGAAGGAAAGACUCUUGACCAUUUCUCACCAUUUGCCAUUGCCCCGGGGGUCAACAUGUGGUCAGCAGUCUUGCACACCCACUUCCAUAAUUCAAAGACCCCAGUGCAGACUUGGGAGUCAUUUGUCACACACAAGGAGAGAGUGACGCCACACCUUGGCUCCCCCCCGUCCGCCAAGACGGGCUCUCGCAGCUCAUCAUCAUCGGCCCCCGACGGGUGCUCAUUCGAGAUGGAUCUAUGUGCCUGCACCACGCCUCUCCACCCCUGGAGUCACCCAAACUCUUGAACCCCCAAGCACAGGCAGCCCAAAACACUGCCCUUCGAACCGCUACAGGCUGCCACAAAAUGGCUUCCAUCGUUCACCUACACCUACACAUCCUGAUCCCGAGAUGACAAGGCAAGAAGCGUGCUCCAGAGCGUUGCGAAAAAAGUCCGAGAUAUCGAGCCAUCGAUCGAGCAGUACAUUCAUCGGCCGUCCGUCGAUGCAGAGGACUACAGGCGCGGCCUCUCUUGGCGAUCCAUCAAACCGCCGUGGCCGACGGGAUCACUGGCUACAAACCCAACAUCGUGUUGGGUGGCUACACGCCUCCAGUAGCCGAAUCCGAAAGACAACUCACACAGCCCAUGAGAUCAACGCUAUUGCGAUUUCGUUCGGGCUGGUGUCACGAGCUCAACAACUAUCAGCAUCGACUCGACCUAUGGAGCGCCCCGGCCGAUGUGGCUCACUUUCUAGAUCUUGAUACGGGAUAACAACCGUCCUACUUGGCUACAACAACAACAACCUACUAAGCCAGCUAACAUAAGUGUUCGCAGAUCCGCCAAUCUAAAUAUCUGUCCUUCACACCUACAGACAAUUCAGACUCCAAUUAAUGCAUGUUUUCGGGAUGUGGGCGUGCCUGGAGAAAACCCACGCAGGCACGGGCAAAACAUGCAAACUCCACACCGCCGGGGCUAGGAUUUGAACCCUGGUCCUCAGAACUGUGAGGCCAACGCUCAACAGCUGCUCCCCCGUGCUACCUGGUCCGAAACAAUAUGUCUCAAUACAUGAAACGUUAAACCUUGAAUAUGGAUGCUUGAAAUCUACGGUA